GAAUAGCCACCGGGGUAGGAAGAUGCGUUCACUUUGCUUACCUGUUGGCAAGAGGGACAUACAAAAAUAACGUAACGUGACAUCGUUGACAACGGUAGCUCUUUGAUUACACAAAAGCCAAUUUUACCUUCCCGCAAAAGCCAGUUGACGCCUUUGGAACUUUUAUUUGCGGCAUUUUGGCGCCCUCUGGCUGUGUUUGGAUCGCUUUCAUGCUCGCCUGCGUCCCAGCCAAGAAAAAAUCGAUGGAGCUGCAGGUUGUCCUCAGGAUGGUUCUGCCCUCAGGACCUGGGCGUGAAUUCAGGGACAGGGUGGCCCUCCAGAACCGGAGUGACAAACUGUAACCAUACUUAGGGAGGCAGACGUCAAAGGCAAGUACAUCUGUAUUCAACUGGGUAAAGCCAUGUGAAGACGUGCCUGCCUCCCUGUUACCUUCCACCAUGAUUGUAAGCUUCCUGAGGCCUCCCCAGCCAUGCCUGCUGUAUAGCCUGCAGAACAGAAGCGUUCCACUGUAAAGGAGCAACUUGACAGGCUGAGCCUGGCGGUGACAGCAUACAGGAUGGGCGCAGCCCCCACAUCUGGGUCAUUUCGUGUCAUCAUGUCUGGAAUAUCAAGUUUGAGCACGUAUGCAGCAAGGAUACCCUUCAACUAAAAGUUGCAUCCUCAAAUUGGGGCUUUCUAACUCAGCGUGGCGAUGUUGUGGAUCAGGUCAAAAGUGCUUUUCCUUAGAGCCAAGUUGAGAGUUGAGAGGCCUCUGCCACCUGCAUCUGUGCUUAUGAGCAACACAUGUGGUCUCGGAGGGGGCUUCGGCGAGCACAAACUCCAGCAUUGUCAUUCAGAACCCAGGACAAAGCCUUUCACACUUGCACGACAUGUGCUUUCUGAAAUGAAUGCAACUGCAUACUUCCUUCUUGAGCUCGCAGUAAUGAAUGACUUCACAGAUGGAUGGAUGAUCUUGUGGCUGGCUACAAAGAAUAGACUAAAACCCGCGGAAAUGCAGAUAGAUUAAAAAGGAGUGACAGGUGGGUCCAUCCUACACUCCCUACACUCUCUGUUUGUCCAACAAAAUGGUAGUCCUCUAGCGGCUGCCGGAGUCCCAGUAUCCCAGAGGAAACUGCGAAAAACCUCCUCAAAUGAGUAAUUAGGUCGCCGGACCCAGUGGUUCAGGCCUAUAAUCCCAGCACUUUGGGAGGCUGGAGCAGGCAGAUCACUUGAAGUCAGGAGUUCGAGACCAGCCUGGCCAACAUGGUGAAACACCAUCUCUACUAAAAACACAAAAAUUAGCCGGGCAUGGUGGUGGGCACCUGUAAUCCCAGCUACUUGGGGGGCUGAGGCAGGAGAAUUGCUUCAACCCAGGAAGAGGAGGUUGUAGAGAGUGGAGAUUGUGCCACUGUACUCCAGCCUGGGUGACAGAGUGAAAUGAAAGAGAAGCAAGGAAGGCAAGAAGGCAGGAAGGCAGAAAGGCAGAAAGGCAGGAAGGCAGGAAGGCAGGAAGGCAGGAAGGCAGGAAGGCAGGAAGGAAGGAAGGAAGGAAGGAAGGAAGGAAGGAAGCGAAGGAAAAAGGAGAGGAAGGAAAGGAAAGGCAGGCAGGAAGGAAGAAAGGAAGAAAGGGAAGGAGAGGAAGGAAAGGAAAGGGAAGGGAAGGAGAGGAAGGAGGGAAGGAAGGAGAGUAAUUAGAUCAGCAGCACUGGCCCCUGCCAGUUCACUUUUUCAAAAGUCAACCUCCUCAAGUCACCUUUGUUUCUCAAAGGCUUCACAUACAGAAGAUGCUGUGACUACAGCGGAUUGUCUCGCAGAUCUGCAGUCUGCAUUGGUCCUAGUGAGGAGAGACCUUUGGCUCCGUCCUCAUAGGGCUUUUUCCUUAAGAGAAGAAGAUAUUGUCCCACUUGAUGAAUUUGGGGGAAAUGUACGUUAGAGAACAUGUACAGCAAGGUCAAUAGUAACAACACAGACCCUAGUAUAAGCAUUCCAUCAUCUGCUUAUUAUAACCUCUCCAGGCUGUGAGAAAUUAACACUGAGGCCAACAAUGGGUGCUCACUACUCUGAAUGAGCAGUACUUUGCAUUUACUAGGAGCACUGGGGAAGUAGCCAUUCACCAAAAGGGUACAAAAACACAUAGAAUGAAAACAAUUCUCAUUUUAUUUUCAUUCAGAUGUGUAAGUCGAACUGUUUUCAUUGCUGUUUGUCCAAGUAAUCUUCCUCCCAGGGGGUGCUUACAAAGCCACUGAAUUCCCUGGAUGUCAGGUGCAGUAAUGAGUCAUUAGCCACAAGGCAUACAAUCAAAAGAGAAAGACAACUUCAAAUACAGAUUAGAAGAACACUUACCUAAACAACAAAAAUAAGGAAAACCAAGCACCUCAAAAAUCAGUUUGCUAAUCCAACACUUUACAUUAAACAGGUGAUUUUAUUGAUUCUAUCCCUAAUUUGCUGUAAGAUUUUGCUUAGUUCCCUUGAAAACGGCAACAUGGCAGAUGCAGUGACUCACACCUGUAAUCCCAGCACUUUGGGAGGCCAAGGCAGGCCGAUCACUUGAGGUCAGAAGUUCAAGACCAGCCAGGCCAACGUGGUGGAAUCCCCUCUCGACUAAAAAUACAAAAAUUAGCUGGGCAUGGUGGCAGGCGCCUGUAAUCCCA
rnacentral:lncRNA from 1 species